AUUGAACGCUGGCGGCAGGCCUAACACAUGCAAGUCGAGCGGAUGAGGGGAGCUUGCUCUCUGAUUCAGCGGCGGACGGGUGAGUAAUGCCUAGGAAUCUGCCUGGUAGUGGGGGACAACGUUUCGAAAGGAACGCUAAUACCGCAUACGUCCUACGGGCGAAAGUGGGGGAGCUUCGGACCUCACGCUAUCAGAUGAGCCUAGGUGAGAUUAGCUAGUUGGUGAGGUAAAGGCUCACCAAGGGGACGAUCGGUAACUGGUCUGAGAGGAUGAUCAGUCACACUGGAACUGAGACACGGUCCAGACUCCUACGGGAGGCAGCAGUGGGGAAUAUUGGACAAUGGGCGAAAGCCUGAUCCAGCCAUGCCGCGUGUGUGAAGAAGGUCUUCGGAUUGUAAAGCACUUUAAGUUGGGAGGAAGGGCAGUAAGUUAAUACCUUGCUGUUUUGACGUUACCAACAGAAUAAGCACCGGCUAACUUCGUGCCAGCCGCCGCAGUAACAC
rnacentral:rRNA from 1 species